UACGUAGGGAGCAAGCGUUGUCCGGAAUCAUUGGGCGUAAAGAGCGCGUAGGCGGCCCGGUAAGUCAAAGGUGAAAUCCCUCGGCUCAACUGAGGAACUGCCUUUGAAACUGUCGGGCUUGAGGCCGGGAGGGGGUAGCGGAAUUCCCAGUGUAGCGGUGAAAUGCGUAGAUACUGGGAGGAACACCAGUGGCGAAGGCGGCUACCUGGACCGGUUCUGACGCUGAGGCGCGAAAGCGUGGGUAGCAAACAGG
rnacentral:rRNA from 1 species